rnacentral:rRNA from 1 species
ACGCACCUUGCGCCCCUUGGUAUUCCGAGGGGCACACCUGUUUGAGCGUCGUGAAUAUCUUAUCCCGAUGCCUUUUGUAAUGAAGGGUGGCGGGCUUGGACUUGGAGGACUUGCCGGACCUGUGUCGGCUCCUCUUGAAUGCAUUAGCGGAGACCUUUUGCUUGGCCUUGACGUGAUAAUAUCUACGCCUUGUAGUUAGGUCGGAAUACGAGUCAUACAGUGGUAACUAAUCAGGCUUUCGGGUCUGGCUUAGAGUCGGUUUGGAAGGUGCUUAACGGCUCCUUCUGCUUUCUCCCUUUGCGGAGAUACUUGUCCGAUUUUAAGAGAGGAGUUGCUUAGCGCGAGCUUAGCUUUCCUUGAUUUUUCCCUUUGACUUUGUAGAAGGAUUCAGCUUCUAACCGUCCAUUGACUUGGACAAUUCAUUGACUAUUUGACCUCAAAUCAGGUAGGACUACCCGCUGAACUUAA